CUGAUCUCAGCACUUCAGAGGUAUCCAAAACUGCAUAAAUAUUAGAAAUGUUCUACACAUGCAACAAAGAAUCGGGAAUCUAAACUCUUGCAUUGUAGUCUAACAAAAGAAGAGAAGAAUAACCUAUUAAUCCAUCUCCUUCCUAUCCAAGAAAAGGAAACAAAGGAGUAUUUAUCAGUUGAACGCACAGUGAGUAGGAGGCCAUUCCGUGCUCUUCUGGAUAUUGCUAUUCUUAUUGGUGGAUGCUUCGAAGAAAUAGAGUUACUUGGAGAUAUUCACCACAAAACAAAUUUGGUGGGCAUGUUACUGCAUACAUGAGGAGUAUAAGGUGAGAGCGAAGCGGACUUCGCAAAUAUGAAUUCAAGGCAUCUGAGGCUAUGUUGCUGUCCUAAUUAAUGAUGGGAUGCAUCUAAUUGGUGGGGAGAUAUUGUGGUAAUGACUAGGGAAUUAACGCUUCAUAGGUUAGUUUUUUGUGAAUUGAAAGCAUGGCCUGAUUGUGAUGUGGUAUAGGUGAAAUAUGUGUGCUCCCUUCUCUGAUUUUAUCUCUUUCGCGGUACUUGAACUUUUUGUUUAGGAUCCGUAUAUGUUAUGCUUAUCCUAUGUUGAUUACAAUUAUGUCUGCUGUUUCUGUUUAAUGAUGACCAGUUUAGGUUCAUGGCGUCUAAUUUCGUUGUAUUUUGUCGGUCUUCUCUUUCUGUCAGUUCUUAAAUAAUCAAGUUCAAAUUAGCAGUCAUUUGUCUUGAAAUCCAACAAUUUUGACAGUAACUAUUUGUAUUUCAUGUUAGUUUCAUGUGA